rnacentral:misc_RNA from 1 species
GAAAUGCGAUAAGUAAUGUGAAUUGCAGAAUUCAGUGAAUCAUCGAAUCUUUGAACGCAGCUUGCGCUCCUUGGUAUUCCUUGGAGCAUGCCUGUUUGAGUAUCAUGAAAUCUUCAAAGUAAAUCUUUUGUUAACUCAAUUGGUUUCUACAUUGGUAUUGGAGGUCUUUGCAGCUUCACACCUGCUCCUCUUUGUUCAUUAGCUGGAUCUCAGUGUUAUGCUUGGUUCCACUCGGCGUGAUAAGUUAUCUAUCGCUGAGGACACUGUAAAAGGUGGCCAAGGUAAAUGCAGAUGAACCGCUUCUAAUAGUCCAUUGACUUGGACAAUACUUUUAUGAUCUGAUCUCAAAUCAGGUAGGACUACCCGCUGAACUUAAGC